GUACUAGCUACGGCGGUACAUAUUCUAAAAUUGGAACGAUAGAGAGAAGAAAAUGGCCCCCUGCGCAAGGGCGAUACGUAAAUUCGUGAAGCGUACCAUAUUUCU